rnacentral:pre_miRNA from 7 species
GUCUUGUGGUGAAAGACCCCCGAAGGGAGACCCUCACUCAAGCCUCGGGACAGCCGCGGACCCAAGAAGACACUGAGACCA